GUGGUGGAAAGAUGACGUAAGGAGCGACUCACGGACACGUGUUGUCCAUAUCUGUCUCCUGGGAAGGUCUGAGAUAAGGUCUACCUACUUGGGUAGGUUACCCUCUAGCAGGGGGAUGGUGUAAUACGCCAUGGUGUUGUACUAGAAACGAUUCAUCGACAUACUCGCCCUGAAGUACAAGAAGGCUACUCUUCACGUAAUACGUUAUGUGCAGAAGUCUGAUACGAUUGUGGUGAAGAUGUCGAAUUUAAACUACAGCACUGGCCAGCUGUGCUUAGUGAGAUCGUUGACUGUUUAACUCAAUUCAGACUACUCUUCCGCCAC
rnacentral:RNase_P_RNA from 1 species